rnacentral:rRNA from 1 species
GACAGAGGAGCCAAGCGUUGUUCGGAUUCAUUGGGCGUAAAGGGUGCGUAGGCGGCGCGGUAAGUCGGGUGUGAAAUCUCGGAGCUUAACUCCGAAACUGCAUUCGAUACUGCCGUGCUUGAGGACUGGAGAGGAGACUGGAAUUUACGGUGUAGCGGUGAAAUGCGUAGAUAUCGUAAGGAAGACCAGUGGCGAAGGCGGGUCUCUGGACAGUUCCUGACGCUGAGGCACGAAGGCCAGGGGAGCAAACGGG